rnacentral:rRNA from 1 species
AGUGAACGCUGGCGGUAGGCCUAACACAUGCAAGUCGAACGGCAGCACAGGAGAGCUUGCUCUCUGGGUGGCGAGUGGCGGACGGGUGAGGAAUACAUCGGAAUCUACUUUUUCGUGGGGGAUAACGUAUGGAAACUUACGCUAAUACCGCAUACGACCUACGGGUGAAAGCAGGGGACCUUCGGGCCUUGCGCGAUUGAAUGAGCCGAUGUCGGAUUAGCUAGUUGGCGGGGCAAAGGCCCACCAAGGCGACGAUCCGUAGCUGGUCUGAGAGGAUGAUCAGCCACACUGGAACUGAGACACGGUCCAGACUCCUACGGGAGGCAGCAGUGGGGAAUAUUGGACAAUGGGCGCAAGCCUGAUCCAGCCAUACCGCGUGGGUGAAGAAGGCCUUCGGGUUGUAAAGCCCUUUUGUUGGGAAAGAAAUCCAGCUGGCUAAUACCCGGUUGGGAUGACGGUACCCAAAGAAUAAGCACCGGCUAACUUCGUGCCAGCAGCCGCGGUAA